CUACAUAAAAACUGAGGAAAUGCAAUGCCUGCAAACAGCAGCCUCCUGGGUAAUGUAUUCAGCCUGCUGCUUGUACAGGCUGCCCUAAGGGAUGCUGGAGACAGCC
ensembl:snoRNA SNORA70 Small nucleolar RNA SNORA70